UACAAUUUGGUUUGUUUAGGUUCACCCAGGUCUGUGGGCCAGGACAAGUCAACUAGCUGUUCGUCCAGGUCCAGGUUCGUGGGCCGGGACCGUUCAAGUAGUUGUUCAUCCAGGUCCGUGGGCCAGGACAGUUCAAGUAGUAG